CACCAAUCCAUCUCACCCUUUUUGUGCAUCACCGCGUGGGUCCCCCCCUUUUGCCGGGGAGGGCUUGCGUUUUCACAUAAAACUUGACACAAUACAGAAUGUUUUCUUUUUGCGGUUAUACGCAAUCAAUACAACUUUCCAACAACGGAUCUCUUGGCUCUCGCAUCGAUGAAGAACGCAGCGAAAUGCGAUACGUAAUGUGAAUUGCAGAAUUCAGUGAAUCAUCGAAUCUUUGAACGCACCUUGCGCCCCUUGGCAUUCCGAGGGGCACACCCGUUUGAGUGUCGUGAAAUUCUCAAAAACCCUUUUUUCUUUGAUCCUUUCAGGGUUUGGGAAAAGGAUUUUUGGACUUGGAGGUUCAAUGCUCGCCUUUCGCUUUCGAAAGCGAGCUCCUCUAAAAUAAAUUAGCGGGGUCUGCUUUGCCGAUCCUUGACGUGAUAAGAUGUUUCUACGUUUUGGAUUUAGCACAGUCCUUUGGAUUCCUGCUUCUAAC
rnacentral:rRNA from 1 species